rnacentral:rRNA from 1 species
UAGGGAAUCUUCGGCAAUGGACGAAAGUCUGACCGAGCAACGCCGCGUGAGUGAAGAAGGUUUUCGGAUCGUAAAACUCUGUUGUUAGAGAAGAACAAGGACGUUAGUAACUGAACGUCCCCUGACGGUAUCUAACCAGAAAGCCACGGCUAACUACGUGCCAGCAGCCGCGGUAAUACGUAGGUGGCAAGCGUUGUCCGGAUUUAUUGGGCGUAAAGCGAGCGCAGGCGGUUUCUUAAGUCUGAUGUGAAAGCCCCCGGCUCAACCGGGGAGGGUCAUUGGAAACUGGGAGACUUGGGUGCAGAAGAGGAGAGUGGAAUUCCAUGUGUAGCGGUGAAAUGCGUAGAUAUAUGGGGGAACACCAGUGGCGAAGGCGGCUCUCUGGUCUGUAACUGACGCUGAGGCUCGAAAGCGUGGGGAGCAAACAGG